AAAGGAAUUGACGGGGGCUCACACAAGCGGUGGAGCAUGUGGCUCAAUUCGAAGCAACGCGAAGAACCUUACCUGGGUUUGACAUGCACGGAUUAACUCCUGGAAACAGGAGCCACACCCGCAAGGGUGGAACGUGCACAGGUGCUGCAUGGCUGUCGUCAGCUCGUGCUGUGAAGUGUCGGGUUAAGUCCCUUAACGAGCGAAACCCCUGUCGCUAGUUGCUAACAGGUAAUGCUGAGGACUCUAGCGAGACUGCCGGUGUCAAAUCGGACGAAGGUGGGGAUGACGUCAAGUCCUCAUGGCCUUUAUGCCCAGGGCUGCACACGUGCUACAAUGGCGUAUACAGAGCGACGCAAGACCGCAAGGUGGAGCAAAUCGCUAAAGUACGCCCCAGUUCAGAUUGCAGGCUGCAAUUCGCCUGCAUGAAGUCGGAAUCGCUAGUAAUCGCGGAUCAGCUACGCCGCGGUGAAUACGUUCCUGAGCCUUGUACACACCGCCCGU
rnacentral:rRNA from 1 species